rnacentral:rRNA from 1 species
UACGUAGGUCCCGAGCGUUGUCCGGAUUUAUUGGGCGUAAAGCGAGCGCAGGCGGUUAGAUAAGUCUGAAGUUAAAGGCUGUGGCUUAACCAUAGUACGCUUUGGAAACUGUUUAACUUGAGUGCAAGAGGGGAGAGUGGAAUUCCAUGUGUAGCGGUGAAAUGCGUAGAUAUAUGGAGGAACACCGGUGGCGAAAGCGGCUCUCUGGCUUGUAACUGACGCUGAGGCUCGAAAGCGUGGGGAGCAAACAGGAUUAGAUACCC